CAGUCGCCGCGGGAAUACGUAGGUGGCAAGCGUUGUCCGGAAUUAUUGGGCGUAAAGGGCUCGCAGGCGGUUUCUUAAGUCUGAUGUGAAAGCCCCCGGCUCAACCGGGGAGGGUCAUUGGAAACUGGGAAACUUGAGUGCGGAAGAGGAGAGUGGAAUUCCACGUGUAGCGGUGAAAUGCGUAGAGAUGUGGAGGGACACCAGUGGCGAAGGCGACUCUCUGGUCUGUAACUGACGCUGAGGAGCGAAAGCGUGGGGAGCGAACAGGAUUAGAUACCCCGGUAGUCCCUGUCUCUUAUAA
rnacentral:rRNA from 1 species